UUGCCUCAGUAACGGCGAGUGAAGCGGCAACAGCUCAAAUUUGAAAUCUGGCCGCAAGGUCCGAGUUGUAAUUUGUAGAGGAUGCUUUUGGCGAGGUGCCUUCCGAGUUCCCUGGAACGGGACGCCAUAGAGGGUGAGAGCCCCGUACGGUAGGACCACCAAGCCUCUGUAAAGCUCCUUCGACGAGUCGAGUAGUUUGGGAAUGCUGCUCUAAAUGGGAGGUGUACGUCUUCUAAAGCUAAAUACCGGCCAGAGACCGAUAGCGCACAAGUAGAGUGAUCGAAAGAUGAAAAGCACUUUGAAAAGAGGGUUAAAAAGUACGUGAAAUUGUUGAAAGGGAAGCAUUCAUGACCAGACUUGGGCUUGGUUGAACAUCCGGCGUUCUCGCCGGUGCACUCUGCCAGUCCAGGCCAGCAUCAGUUUGCCCCGGGGGAUAAAGGCGGCGGGAAUGUGGCUCCCUUCGGGGAGUGUUAUAGCCCGUCGUGUAAUGCCCUGGGGCGGACUGAGGAACGCGCUUCGGCACGGAUGCUGGCGUAAUGGUCAUCAAUGACCCGUCUUGAAACACGGACCAAGGAGUCGUCUUCGUAUGCGAGUGUUCGGGUGUCAAACCCCUACGCGUAAUGAAAGUGAACGUAGGUGAGAGCUUCGGCGCAUCACCGACCGAUCCUGAUGUUCUCGGAUGGAUUUGAGUAAGAGCAUACGGGGCCGGACCCGAAAGAAGGUGAACUAUGCCUGUAUAGGGUGAAGCCAGAGGAAACUCUGGUGGAGGCUCGCAGCGGUUCUGACGUGCAAAUCGAUCGUCAAAUAUGGGCAUGGGGGCGAAAGACUAAUCGAAC
rnacentral:rRNA from 1 species